AGUCGUCAGAACCCACCAUCGAAACAAGCACCCUCCGCGCCGCCGGCCGCCGGCCGCCGUGUCCGUUUCAGCCUCCGAAUCCCCCAUCCCCCGUUGCCUCGCGUUCCCAAGCCACAUGAUAUCCCCCAACCUCCCCCUCCGGCUCCGCCACCUCCACCGCCUUCUCGCCGCCGCGCCCUCGUCCUCCCCCGCCGCCGCAUACUACUCGCGCGCAUCCUCCCCGCCUUCAAACCGCGCUCAGGCCCCGCCCCCGCCCCCGCCCCCGCGGCGCCGUCUCCCGGACCUCCCGGCGCGACGGUUCUCCUCCGGGCACGUCCUCCUCCCCACCAACCUCCAGGAGGAGCACGUCGCGUCUCUGUCCGACAGGAUCUACGACGCGGUGACGGAGACAGAGGAGGGCUCCAACGAGGGCACGGAGGCCGCCCUCGACGCGCUGGGCGCCGAGCUGACCACCCCGCUCGUGGCCGACGUGAUGCACCGCCUGCGCUACGAGGAGAAGCUGGCCUUCCGCUUCUUCGCCUGGGCGUCCCAGCAGGACAACUACGAGCACGAGCACCGGACGUACAACGACAUGAUCGACAUCCUCUCCGGCACGCGGUACAAGUCCCGCCAGUUCGGCGUCCUCUGCGACGUGCUCGACCACAUGAAGCGCCACGGCACGAGGUCGGUGCCCGUCGAGGACCUGCUGGGCAUCCUGCGCGCCUACACCGAGAAGCACCUCACCAACCUCAGGAAGCUGGCAAAGAAGCGGCGGGUGCGGAUGCGCACGCCGCCGGAGACCGACGCGCUCAACAUCCUCCUGGACGCGUUCUGCAAGUGCGGGAUGGUCAGGGAGGCGGAGACGGUGUUUGGUCGCGUGAAGAAGAAGCUGCAGGGAAAUGCCGAGACCUACAGCAUCCUCUUCUUUGGGUGGUGCCGCGCCAGGGACCCCAAGAAGGCCAUGAAGGUGCUCGAGGAAAUGAUUCAGAUGAAGCACACCCCAGAGAACUUCACGUACAUUGCUGCUAUUGACUCGUUCUGCAGCGCUGGUUUGAUCUCGGAGGCAAGAGAGUUGUUUGAGUUCAUGAGGACCGAGGGGUCGAAGAUAUCCUCUCCCACUGCUAAGGUAUAUGCUAUUAUGAUUGUUGCGCUAGCCAAAGCUGAUCGGAUGGACGAGUGCUUUGAGCUGAUUUCAGAUAUGAUUAAACGUGGCUGCAUGCCUGAUGUAUCAACCUUUAAAGAUUUGAUUGAAGGCAUGUGCUUGGUGGAUAGACUCGAUGCUGCCUACUGCAUUUUGGAGGAGAUGGGGAAGGCUGGGUUUCCUCCUGACAUUGUCACUUACAAUUGCUUUCUUGAGGUGCUUUGUAGUCUUCAGAAGGCUGAUGAUGCGCUCAAACUUGCCGAGAGGAUGAUAGAAGCACACUGUGAGCCCAGUGUUCAUACUUACAAUAUGCUGAUGAUGAUGUUUUUUGGGAUGAGAGAGCCACACAGGGCACUCGAUAUUUGGACUGAAAUGGACAAGAGAGGAUGUCGGCGUGCUGUUGAUACAUACGAAAUAAUGAUUGAUGGGCUGUUUGAUUGUGGAAGAACGGAAGACGCGACCACUCUUCUAGAUGAAGUAAUAAACCAUGACAUGAAACUGUCGUACAAGAAGUUCGAUUCUAUCAUGCUGCAAUUAUCAGCUGCUGGCAACCUUGGCGCAAUACAUCGGCUUUCAGAGCAUAUGAGAAAAUUUUACAAUGUUGCAAUGUCAAGACGUUUUUCGAUCACACAGAAGAAGAAGAGCAUUGGUAUUAGAAGGAGAUGAGUUCUGCAAGAUUUAUUGUUAGCACGAAUAGUCAAGAGCGUACAUGAGGGUGGUUGAUACAAGUCUGCACAUUUUGUCUGAGCAAUUUGCAGUGAAAGCAGCAGUGUAUGUUUUCAUUGCUUUAUACAUCAUAUGCACACCCCAUAAAGCUUUUUCCUUAGUUCUCUUGUGUAACCUUUUUUUUCUUCUUUUUUUGCCUCUCUCUCAAAUGAACCACAAAGGCCCAAGACUGAAUUUCCUGUCAUUAAGCAUGCAAUUCAACACAACUUUUCUUGUCUCCACAUGACAACCAAAAUCAAUUUCAGAUACUCUGGAGUCUCGAGAGCCCAGCUUGUCUGGGAACAUGUUACUAGCAGACUUAUUUCAAGCAGAAUCUUACUCAUCCAGUUAUUAGAACAGAAAUGAGGGGGGUUCCGGUUUUAAAAAGAAGAGGUGGCAGCCAGUGUUGUUAAGAACAGAGUGGGCAAAAUUUCGUGGCCGGGCUUGGUUUCCUAGCCCCAUAUCAGCAGUGCUGUGUGACCUGUGAGCAACUAGUCAGGUCGGCGCAGGACGGCAUAGGUGCAUGGCAUAGAAUAGCUGCAUGUUGAGAACCUGGAAUGUAACGACUCGGAAGAAAUUUUGGGACUGAGAGCCCCUGCGUCGUACGGCCGCGCAAGCAAAUUAUCUGAACUCGUGGUUGCCAUGCCAUGCCAUGGCCCGUCCUCCGACGAGGUGGGUAUGCCAAAGUUUUCAUGAGUUCCGAGGUAGAAAUACGGUUUUUUUUUAGGGAAGGUAGAAAUACGGCUGGUUCUGACGGAAAAGAAACCUCUGCCAAGUGAUUUCAGUUUCCAUCUCAUCAGAGCCGGCCCUUGGACAGGGGGAGAAGGGUUUGGCCCACGCCUAAAUUGAGGCCAGUUAUUUCAACAUAAGCCCAUUCUGUAACAUAUAUUGAUAUGCAGUCAUGUCUUUGUCCUUACAUACAACUAACAGAAAAACAAAACAUCCAAGAAACCCUGGUCUAUUAUUGUGGAGACAUGGAACCACAACCUGAGAUGGGUACCCUAAUUUCCUGAAAUUGGAUCAACUGUUCCAGCCGUUACUUAGGAAUUCGCCUUUUUUAGGGACCUUUUCUCUGUCCUUGUUGGACCCAAGCACAAUACAUGUAAUUGUAGCAUUUUUAAGAAACUUAUUUCAGUUAAAAUUAGCAGAAAGCUACUUGAGCCAGUCAGAACAUAGAUUGGAUCUGACGAGCCUGUUUAUAUCAGCAAAAUAUGUCAUAUACGAGUUUCUUGAUCAUUUUUAAUGGUUCACAACCACAUCUUCACAUCUU